UGAACACUGGAUUUGCAAAUGCAGAACAGCUGACUUAUGUUUCACUCACAUGUCAGUUGGAGAUUUUCCGGGCAAAAUUUCUAGUAACUCAGCAUUUGAUUGACACAUCAGUGAGGAAUUAACGCUGUGUAAUUUUGAAACCUUGAUGCCCUCGUACUAACUGGAUUCGAAUGGGUCGUUAUGAACUGGGCGGCGUACAUGGUACCGGCUAUGAACAUAUUGUUAGAACAAGGUGUUGCUGGUGCGUCCCUGCCAUGGUUCAAAAGCCAGAAGUUAGACCCGGAUGGAGCCUUAGAAUACGCCAAACAAACAAUUUCCGACUUGCUGUGCAACAAAGUCGAUAUCUCACUUGAUUUUAUCCGUUUGCCUUUUUUUUUAUUAAAAAGGAGCUUACUAAAACAGAUAAAGACUACGCCAGCAAACAGGCACAUGGGGAACUAGAUCACAAGAUGCGUAAGCGAGAUGCUGGUACAACUCCAAAAUUAGGGGAUCGAGUUCCGUAUGACAUUAUU